AUCAUAACCUAUUUUGAUGUUUAAUAGGCUUUUUUAAAUCUCUCCUUAUUAUCCAACAUAUUCACUUAUCUGACAUUCUGCCGGCCUGUUUAUGUUGGAUAAGUGAGACUCUACUGUAAAUAAGAAAUGUAAGAUCCUGUGUUCCAGGGCUUUUUUUCAAUUGACCUGAAUUUAUAAAUUUCAGAGGAUCAAAAUACAAUUAGGGUAAAUGGAUCAAAGUUCCCAUUGUUUUACUAUCCAUAAUCCCAACCAGAGGAAAAGUAAAGUGAAUGAACUGGUUAGAAUGCAUUGAGGAAGAUAUCAACAAGUUGGAUCCAGAGAAGGAUGACCAAAAUGAUUAAACAUCUGGAAACUAAGACUUACAAAGAAUUACUUAGAGAGCUAGUGAAAAAGAAGAGUGUGAAGUGAAAUGACAACUAUCUUUAAAUAUUCAAAGUGAUGAAGCAAGCUUUUUUCUGCUGCCCCAGAGACCAGAACAUAAACCAAUGCACUGAAUGCACAAAAGAGAUGCCACCUGAUGAUUUUUGUACUGUUCCACAGCAGAAUAGAUUGCUUUGGAGGCUGGCAAACUUCAUCUUUGAAGGUCUUUAAACAGAGAUUAGAUGGCUCCCUUUGAGAAGUUUUGCUGUGUAUUCCCGUAUGGCAUGGAGCUGGACUAGAGUGCCUUCCAACUCUAAGAUUGUAUGAUUCUAUGACCUCUACUUGCUAUACUAAGUAAGUGCCAUUAUAAUAAGUUCUGAACCCCCCCCCCCCUCCAGUUGUCAAUAUGGUCUCUUUCUCAUGACACAGUUAUAAUAUUGAUGCCACUGUAAUUGCCACAAUUUCACCCUGCUGAAUCCUAGGAUAUGUAGGUUAUUUAGAAUUCUGUACCAAAAAGCUCCAAUGCCUCACAAAACUAUAGAUGUAAGAAUUCUGCAAGAUGGAAUUGUGGGAGUUACAGGAGCAUUGAAGUGUUAUAAUUGUGUAACGUGAGCGAGCUUGAGAUCCGACUUUAUUCCAAUAGGAUUGAUUUAUAAUUAAUUGUAGAGUUCCUUCUUUAUCCUUUUUUUCUUUUCCCGCUCCACAUAUGCAUACACACACUACUAUACCAAAACACUUCAUAAAAUUAAUGGAUGUUCUUCUUCUUCAUUCACACAGUCAUCUCCGACUCUUCAUGACCUCAUGGACCAGUCCACGCCAGAGCUCCCUGUAGGCCAUCGCUGCCCCCAGUUCCUUCAAGGUCAGGAUGUUAUGCAGCCUAAAUAUAAUUUUGAUUGAAAUGUUGAUGUCCAAACAUACAUUUACUUUCUCCGCAUACAUUAGUUCUUUCUCUCUAUGUUUCUCAGAUAUAACUAAAAUUAGGCUAGUGCAAGAUUUUACCCAAUUCUACUGCCUCAAAUUUCAUUUAUCACAAAGUGUUAAGUGUAUUGCUUCCAAAGGACUUAAAGUGGCUGUAUUUCAAGCCUUGUCUUUUUGCUCUUUGAUUACAAUGAAUAUUUAUUGCCAUGUCUGGAAUUAUAAUUCUUGGAAUAAGUCCCAAGGAGAUUACAUAUUUUUAGGUACCAUUUCUUUCAGGUAAGAGCAGAGUGCUAUUUAGAAGGCAAAAAAACUGUAGGAAUAACUGCAGCUGUUAUCUACACAGCAGACUGUUGCACUGAGGGAUAUCCAUUUUGUACACACAGAGGACUCCACUGCCAGAGGUGAAUCAUUUUCUGGACUCAGCUAGAAUUGGAAGGAACAGUCGCUGGGACACUGUGAACUCAGAGGAAAAACCAAUUCCAUGACUGGGCAUGUGACUAGAAGAAACAGCAUUUGCCAUCCACCGUAGAUUCUUCUUCUAAGUUUAUGGCAGCACAUAAAUUGGUCCAUGUAAGUUUGAGCUCAGAAGAGAUAUUAGCUCACAAAAAAGAAGUCCAGUGAUUGUGUGGUUCAUGAUUAAAAACAAAAAUCAGAGUUGGGUAAUGUUAGGAAAAAAACAAAAUGUCACAAACAUAUGCAAGCGUUUAAGAUCUCCCGAAUUCUUCACCAAUCAAAAGGGCAUCAAAAGGGAGGGGGCACAAAAUGGACCAAUGACUUAUCAGAUGUGGCCAUCACAGGGCCUCAGGUUCUAUUUUUUGAAAAUAUGUUUUUGAUUUUUUUUUGUCCAAUAAAUACCCUGGGAGUAUGGGCAUAAUUUCACCAUAUUUUGAGCAUCUUGGAGCAUCUUUGGCCCAGAGGUCUAUUUUGUAAUAGGAAGUAAACUGGGUGUUGAUAUCCUGGAUUCUUUAUGUGGUAAAAAAAAAAAAAACACUUCACGUGGUUUCAAAAUGGUUCAGAGGGGCAAAUAUAUAAAAAAAUGCUUUGAGGGCUCUAGCAGCAUUUUCUCCUGACAUUUCACCUGCAUCUGUGGUGAAACAUCAGGCAAAACAUCACCUAGCUGUGGUGAAACGCUAUUACCUAGCUUCUGAAGUAGGACUGUCUAGUUCACAGACACAAUUAAGGCAUCUCAAAACUUUUCAAAAUCUGUUUGAUCUCCUUCACUGAAAGAUGAAAUGGUGCAGAGAGCAAUAAAAAUGUUGCAGUUAUGGAACAAAGUCUCAAAGAGCUUGCAUUCCAUCUGAUCUAAAACAAACUGGCAUUACUUAUACAACCAAAAAAGUUACUAAAUUAUAAUGUCAUGUAUCUUCUCUUUCAUGCAGCUUUUUAAAUGUUUCCUAACAAAAACAACUUUAAAAAAUGGGUUAAAACUAGGUUUUGGUGGAAGAAGCUGUGAUGUACUUUGUGGGCCUAAUUCAAAUUUUGGAAGACCAGUGGGCUGUUACAAGCUUAGUGAGCCAGCUGGUGCACAGCCUCAAGGCUACUACUGAUGAAGUUUCUUGGAGAAUGAGGCAUCUCUAUUCAUUUAUAUUGUCCAAAAGAUAAUACCAGGUAUGGCAUCAACGCUUGCAAAAUUAUUGUUCUUUUCAAUACAGCUCCUGCAAUUCCAUAGCCAGCACUGUCUGCGCAAUUUUACAGGUACAUACAAGAAGAGGAAAAGGUCAAUGAGCACUAGUCCUCCCCUUCCUAAUAUAUACACACUAACUUCAGCCUCAGGCUUCCCCACACCUGGUGGCUAGAUCUGGACGUGGCGCUCUCAUGUACUUAGAAACCCGAGGGACCCCAGUUUCAGAACAUUCUGAUUGUGUGGAGAAUUUUACACAUGUUUCUGCAAAUGUGAACAUUCCCCCUUUGGCCCUUUUGCUCAAUGAGCACAGCUCUCAGGCUGCAGCUGGCAGGAAGACGCAUGUCAGCAAUGGGAAGAGAGCAGAGUUUUAGAACUUAAUUGUUGUAAGUUACUAUCCCAAGACAGUUGCAUAAUUGCAUGAGCACUUUCGUUAUUGCAUCUUUCUUUCUUCUCACAAUUAUAGCAAUUCCCUGAUACAGGAUUCUGCAAUCAUACUUCUACAUACCCUCUUAACUCUCCCUAUUCACACUUCAGAAAAUUUAUUAUGAUGUUUAAAAAUGUUCCAGUUAAUUUUAAGGGACAUUUUAAAGUACAGGAAUAAUGAGGGGGAUGAGGGAAAGUAGCAAAGGAGAACUACCCCACUCCUGACAUAAUUUCACUGUCAGUAUGCCAGCACAGUGUAGAAUGGACCCAUCACACAAGGUAGGCAAGGGAAAAUAGUGGGACUGGCAGCGAUUGAUGGGUUUGGGGAGGAGGGAGAUUGACAGCAGGAUGCACAUGAUUUUGUGUGAUAAGAAUCUGUCAGCUGUUUCAAAGCCAGUUUGCUUGCCGUGUGCAAUAAAGUCCUUAGAAAGUUACGUUUCGGCCUAGAACUCUGAGAAUCCUCCAUUAAGCAUGGCCCAUUUAUCAUGCUAGCUGGUCAAUUCUGGACAUUUUAGCCCAGACUAAAUAUUUUUUCCAAGCAAUGAGCUAUGGCAUGUGGCUUUAAUCCUCUUUCCAUGUGUUGGGAAAAUAUUCAUAAGUUUUCUUGGGUAUGUGUCCAUUUCAAUCAGUUUACCAAGCCAUUGCUUCUUAUGUGACUGCAACUGUGAGCUGAGUUUCAAGCACAGCAUGAAUUAAACAGCUUUCUUCCAUUGUUUAACUGGAUUCUCCAUACAAUCCAUAUUCAGAGCAAUUUCAGAGUCCAGCACAGAAUAUCGUUCACUUCCAGUUGUCUCAUGAUAUAUACAUGAUUUAUGCAGGCAGAUGUUCGCCUCAUCCAACACUGCCCACUGCCAUGAAGCAAUCCCGUGUGGCCAUUGCUAUGGAGGAGUGGAGGAAAAGUUGGAGGAAGUGAGAAAGGCAACUGUGCUGCAGGAAUAGUUUCUCCUCCCCCUGCAGUUUGUGGGCUUUGUUGAUGAUGGCAUGUGCACCCUGCUACCAGUUUGCUAUCCCCCAUGAUUCUGCCAUCACUAGUUAUUAACAGGCAAAAUCUGCCAGUCGCUACCAGUCCUAAAACUUUCCCAUCACCUACCUUGGUGUUAACUCUCAUAGUCAUUUCCUCCUCACACACACACACACACACACACACACACACACACACACACUCUGUCAGUUAUCAUCUCUUAUCUUGCCAUGAACUGACAUUUCGAAUAUAAGUGGCUCUAAAAUGUCCUUUUGUGGCAGUCCAUUGGCUGUUCAUGGCUCAGUACACUUUGAUUCAGAAAAGGAUCUGUCUCCAAUUACAAGACACUGUACUGCUCUUUCCAACCAGACAUACUAUGUUAUUCCAGUAUAAAUAAGACAUUUCCAGGACUUAGCUAUGUAACUAAAACUGAAUGUUGGAGUUUGGAACAAUGUGUAUUUUAGCUUGUAGCUAGUUCUCAAUAUUCUAUAAAUUGGUUGCUGGGUGUAGGAAUCAUAAAGUGAAUAAUACACCAGAAUGAUGUUACUGGGUAUCCAUGACUGCAUAUGAAUCACAGUCAUUUCCAUUUGUGUGCUUCACCAAGAGAGAUAUUUAAGGCUAUUGGAUAGAGGUGUAGUGGAUAAUUGAUUCAGAAAUACAGGCAAAGCUUGAAUAUAAAAUAAAGAUUUGGGGCAGAAUACUGUUAUUGAUGUAUCUACACAUUACAUAUGUGUAUGUCUAUUUUUCAAGAAUGUUGUGCUUGUCACAUCAAUUAUUUUUUCCGCAGCUGAUAGAAUCUUACUGAAGGGCUCUCUAAACUCUGCCAACAUAGGGACCUUGGCUUCAUGUGAAUAGGAAGAGAUCAAAUCCAGUGACUUUAUGGUAUUGAAAAACUGAAAAUCUUUUUCUACUGAUCUUGUUCCUGUCAUGUCUCUUCCUCUCUUUUGGAGUAUUUAUCUUAACACUCAACCUGUAACAUCUAAACAAACAAGAUGCAGACGUAUCAACUGUAAGCAUCAUUAGCUUCCCCUAUGUAAAUUAUGUACCAUCUUUCCAAUGAGCUUCAAAUUUUUAUGCCUUCCAGUUGACCUAAUAAAAUACAACUGUUA